AUAAAUAUGGCCGAAUGACGAGACGCGUUCGUAAAUAUUUCUACGAUAAAACUUUAAUUUUGUGAUAAUCGUGAAGUGUUUAAUCUAAUUAGUAAAUAAAAUUAUUUUGAACAAUACAAUUAGAGUGCUAUACAAAAAGUUUUUCGUUAAUUCUUUCUAUAUCGAUGUAAUAAAGAAUGAAAUGAGUGAUCCUUUGUGAGUGAGAAUGAAACGAGUGUAAACAAUUUUUGUUUUUAAAAGCUAAAAAUCAGUUAAGUUUAUGUAUAAAUUCUUCGAAGGAUAGUUGUGUUUAGACGAUUUAUUUGAUUUAUCCUUCUAUUUUGUCAAAAUUGAGAAUGAUUGCCCGAUAGUAUCGCGGCCCUGUUUUCGAGCUAAGUGCCGUGUAAUCAAAGGAUGAUUGCUGACACAAAGAUGGCUGAUUGGCUCGUUUAUGUUACGGUAAUGCUCGAAGCUUGGUGGAACGUCUCUCGAUAUCGAGCUCGUUUCUCGUGCUAACGAGAUUUCAUCCAUGUUCUCAUUAAAGAAUUAAAUGAGAAUGUUCUCGUGAGACAGUAGUGAAUGUGAAUAAUAAUUCAUCAUUAAGGAAACCAUCGUAUCAAGAGAAGAAAAAUCUCCUCUUUAAAUUAAUAAUCCGUGAAUUCUCGUAAAGGUCCUCAAAUCUUUCGUUAAUUUCGCGUAUCAAAAGAUAGAGAAAUAGCUUGAAUCGUCUAAUAAUCGUUCUUUCUCCGUGCUCGAAUUAUAUUCAAACGUAUUAAGUGUCUUGAAACAAUGAAUUUGAAAGAAUUUGAAAGAGAGAGAGAAAAAAAAAAGAAAAAGAAAUAACGAGAGUUGGAUGAUUUUCUAGUCAAAUCUCUGCAGAAUGAUUUCAAAACCAUAAAUUGUUCUUGGGAGGUAGACAGUAAAGUCUUCAGCAGGGUGUCGCAAAGAUACCACAAAGAUGGUGUAGAUUCGCGCGGCAAGCAUCGAUGCCACGAGAGGGUUGCUUGUUUACAAGCGACAGUUGAUUUGACAAAGCCGUGGGUCCAUUUAUACGAGUGAAUAUUACAGGGCAAAGUCGAGGGGUGGCUUGUUAUCCGCUCAUUGAAGUUAACCACGGGGCUAAGUGCGCUGGGGAGUGCCGGUCGGUAGGAGCAAGGAGAACUAGUGACUAAAGGUUAGGUAUAUGUAUACCGACGGAGGGGAUAGCUUUGCAGUUUGUAGAGAGAAUCAGUGAAACUCCGUGAGAAACUGAGAGAGAAAAUUCAAAUGGAGACAGAUAGAUACUGGCGAAUAAGAAACAGAGAUGAAGCAACGAGGAAAGGAAAGGUAGGCAGAAAAUACAACGAGUUGAAAAGAGAUAAAAAAGAAAAGGUGAAGAGAAAUAGAUCAAGAGAGAAAACAGAUAGUGAUGAAUGCGACAUAUUCGUGAUGUCCAUAUAUUUAAUGAAUAUUUGUAAAAAUUGUCUACAUAUUGAUGUCAAAAGAAAACUCUGAAAUGAUUUAUGAUCAUUAUGCCCGUUCUAUUGAUGAGCUUUGAAAUAAUAACCUUUGAAACGCUAAUGAAAUUAGUCCCAUCGCUAGAAGAGGGUGAUGGAACGAAAGAUGGAUAACAGCAGGGUGGCCUGGAAGAAGAUAGCGUAAUGGGCAAAGAGGUGAGGAGGGAAGAGAGUUGGUAGAACAUUGACGGGCCAAUGAGAGGCCAGAUCGUUGCCGAGGUAACCGCGGGGCUUUCCGACGGAUUAUUCGACCGAGAUUGAAAAGUUAGCACCGUGCAACGGGCGGGGGCUCGUCGACGGAACCACUCCUGUUUCUCCAGAACGAGCGAUCUACUCGCGACAGGGCUAACACAACGGAUUAAGGCUUAUUUUCACGAUUGAGGAUGGAUUUAUAUUCAUAUUCCGUUUAUGAAACAUAAAUUUCUGAUAUAUCAUGAUAAGUUGCUUAAAAAAAUCCCGUUUAAAUUUAUGAAAUGAUUAUUUUUUUCACAAUUAAAAAUUAUUUGAAUCUAAUUGCUUCUUUUUCCAUUAUACUCAUAUAACAAAAAAAUUCUAUUACAAUUCAUAUAAUUCAUAGAGCAGUCUUUUAAACAUUUUGCCUAAUUGAUUCAAAAAAAAAAAAGAAGAAACUCUUAACAGUUAUUUUACUUUGGAUUUUUUUAUGACAAUCUUAUAGACAAGAUAAUACGGUGAGAUCGUCUCAGGAUUGUUGGCAAAAUGUUCGUCGGUGACGGGUCAAGCGGAACGUUUCGGGCUAGCUGUCUCGAUACCUCGAGAGGUACGAAGGACGCUUCGUUACUCGUUACCUGAUGCUGACGCUCGUUGCGGUAGAAAGGGAACAAUAGCGAGACGAGAAAUAAGAAGGAGACGGAGAGAGAUAGCCAAAACGAGGACUG
rnacentral:lncRNA from 1 species